GAGAGAGGCCCGUCGCAACGAAGACUGCUAAUCUUCCCUUCUUUGGUUAGACUCCAGAGCUCACUCG
rnacentral:tRNA from 1 species